AUACGGAGGGUGCAAGCGUUAAUCGGAAUUACUGGGCGUAAAGCGCGCGUAGGCGGUUUAGUAAGUCGGAUGUGAAAGCCCCGGGCUCAACCUGGGAAUUGCAUUCGAUACUGCUUGACUAGAGUAUGGUAGAGGGAAGUGGAAUUUCCGGUGUAGCGGUGAAAUGCGUAGAUAUCGGAAGGAACACCAGUGGCGAAGGCGACUUCCUGGGCCAAUACUGACGCUGAGGUGCGAAAGCUAGGGUAGCGAACGGGAUUAGAAACCCCAGUAGUCC
rnacentral:rRNA from 1 species